rnacentral:rRNA from 1 species
AUUGAAAGCUGGCGGAAAGCCUAACACAUGCAAGUCGAACGAGUGGCGGACGGGUGAGUAAUUUCUGGGAAACUGCCUGCUGGAGGGGUAUCACUCCUGGAAACGGUAGAUAAUACCGCAUACCAUCGGAUGUGCCCAGAUGGGAUUAGCUAGUCGGUGGGGUAAAGGGUCACCUAGGCGACGAUCCCUAGCUGGUCUGAGAGGAUGACCAGUCAAACUGGAACGGAGACACGGUCCAGACUCCUACGGGAGGCAGCAGUGGGGAAUAUUGCACAAUGGGCGCAAGCCGGAUGCAGCCAGGCCGCGUGUAUGAAGAAGGCCUUCGGGUUGUAAAGUACGUUCAGCGGGGUGGCGUUACCCGCAGAAGAAGCACCGGCUAACUCCGUGCCAGCAGCCGCGGUAAUAC